AAUGUUAAUCACUGAGUUGCAUUUAAAACCCUUUAAAAACAGGAAGUGAUGUGAACGACUAAAGGCCUUUGUUGUUCUUUAGCUAUUAGAGCACAGCAGAAGCCAAUUAGACUUGUUUUUCUCAAUGCUAAAGUAAUAAAGUGAAAUGCUCCUUUUUUUUUCUGUAACCAGACUGCAAUCCUCCACGGCAUGGUGUGAUACAAAGCCAUCCCAGAAAUCACUGGAAUGAGAAGCCCAACUGUGGAUUAAUGAAAGUCGUUUUGUGACCGCUGCCAGUUUACAGUGACCAAAUGACAAGAACAAGUCUGAAGUGGAGACAGGACAAGAACCUAAACUUGAACAGUUACUGAACUCCUCCUGCAAAUCUUACCAUCACAGAAAAUGAGGUGCCAAAGGAGAAAUGAUUUACAGGGUCAUAUUACAAUCCAUUGAAGUUUUGUGAAUCUGAAGAAAAAAAUCAGCGACAGGACUCACCAUCUGUUGCAUAAUGAAAGAGACAUGUGGAUAAUAGAACGUCAGUUGAAAGGGUUGCAAGUGAUCAAAUGUUGUUCAGCACCUCAAUAAUAUUUCCUCAGAAAAAAGGCUUGCUUCAGAUAUUUCAGCGUUGCAAGUUUUUGUUUGUUUUGUUGUUGAUUCCUUAGCUGGGAUUUGAAUUUAUUAUAUAUUACAUUAUAUAUACACAUAUAUAUGGCUGUGGAUUUCUCAAAAGUGGCUAUCUAUGACAGCAGUCAUAGAUACGGACAGCUGCUCCCUUUGCUUUUGAAGUUCAGGGGCUAUGGAGAAUGUACAUGUACAGCUCAUUUUUAUAGAUGUGGGGCUGAAUUCUUAAUUUAAGUCCAAAUGCACAGCUCACACAACCCUAUCUUACUAGUGUUCUUUCUUUGACAUGAAUAGAGAGCUGCGGGUCAAUCCUUCAAAAUAUUCCAAAGUAAAAGGUAGACCUGAACAGACUCAAGGCCAAAAUGGUUUCCCCAGAUGCUUUUGCAAUUUUGGAAGAAAAAAAGAAUACAAACUGCUUUAAUAUUUGAUAAACCCAUCACCUGAUGGGAAGCCGCUCUCCUGUAAUGAAUCCACAAACUAUGCUUUACCAUAUAUCCCUUAAGGCUACUGUAGAAAUAUUUUCUAUGAUGUUCUCUCAGAACAAGAACUGAAGUUAUAUGAAUCAUAACUAUCAUUCCUAAGAUGUCAGAGAGCUUAUUAAAAAAAUAGACAAUACUAAAUACUAAUGCAAAUAGCACUUCGGUCCGUUGAAAAGAUGCCAUGUUUCCAUUGCUAUUUUAAACAGUAUUUUAUCUAGCUAGCAGUGUGUCUUUCCAAACUUGUUCUCUCAUAAACCAUAUUGUGCAAAGCCUACAUAUUAAAAAACUUUUUCACAGAUAUAAAUCAUAGCUUUUAUAGUUCCACCAGAAACAAAUCUGAACAAUGGAGAUACCAAAAUACGGACAAAGUUAUGACAGAAUGACUCACUGCAUCUAUCUAUAUCUUAAAUUUUUCCUUUACAUGUUCCAAACAUUUCUGUCCUCAACCAUUUUGCAAGAAGAUGCACCCAUCUGCAAAGCAUUCAGUUCUAAAAAACUUUCCUUCAUACAGUAGUCAGGUUCUAUUUAUAUUAAACACAUUUUACUAAUUUUCCCUUUCCUUCUGUAGAAACCUUGAUAAGGAAAAACCUUCUCCUUGAAUAUUCAAUCAUUCAAAUUAACGGGCAUUUUCUUCGAAUGUUGUUGUUUUCCCCCCCCCAUGAGUACUGGCAGAUCAAAAGUUCACAGAAGUAUUCUGGUGCAAUUUGUAGAUCAACUGUACCGAACAGUGUGCCUUGCUACAUUUCUAAUGGGUUACAAUUGAAAUGCUACAUUUUCAUUUUCGACUGACAAUGAAAAACACCAAGUAAUAUUCUAAGGCCAAAAAUUAUUGCUGGAACUUAUGAGCAAGUCAUUUCCUAACAGCUUUGUUCCUUGAAUACUGUCUUAUCAAACGUGCCCAGGAUUUUAUUGAAGUGAACCGUUCUAAUGAAAAAGAGCAUUUGAUGAACAGGCAAGGCUGCAAACUCAAUUCCACCCCCCUGCUUUCCAGUUGGUUUCAUCAGUAAAAUAACCAGAAGCACCCAGGUGACCACAGAUGAAAAUAUCCAAGUAGGAGUUCUUUAGGAUGACUUGGGCUUUUUUUAUUUUUUUUUUUUAAUUUUAAAAUUGUUCUUAAACUAGUCUCCUAAAUAUGGAUGAAGACAUCUGAUUUCUUUCCAGAAAUACUGAGCCUAGAGCAGAAUACACACAAGUCUUGUAUGUCCUCAAACUAUCUGCUCCAAUUUUUUAAAGUUCUUAAGAAAUAACAUUUUAAUACCAAAUUCUGAUGUUCCAUAUGUUGGAAGUGAGCUUACCAAUUAUUACUGUUUUAUUAGAUUUAGUUUCCUCUUUGAUCUCCUGUAACACUGUGCACUCAAUAUCUUUUUCUCCAAUCCAGAUGCUCAGAGUUUCACCCUACUAAUAUAGUUGUAGUCCUAUUACUUGGAAUUUCUGUACUUUUGAUCUCACUGGUAGAGACAGAGACAUAAUUACAGUAACAGAUCAGGCUGCCUGCCAGUAUCAAUGGUAAAUAACACUGAAUGACUCAUAGUUUCACAGUUAUAACGUGGUUUACACAUUUUGGUAUGCAGCUGCCCAACAGACUUAGCCAGAAUGUAUACACAAGUGCCAAAUCCUUCAGAGAUUUUUUUUUUUUUUUCCCCCUUCAGAGCAGGGGACCCUUUCUCUGGCAAAGAGAAAUCAAAAAUCAAGACAGGCCAGACUCUUGGAAAAUGAGUUUCCUUAUCAAAAAAUAAGAAAAACCAAACCCAGGAAAACCAUCCACUUGAGAACCAAGUUCAGGCCCCACAUCGAUGGGUGUGAUUCCCUAGCAUCGCAAACCCUGCUCUAGUCUGAGCAGGUUAGGGUUCAACCUUCAGUUUGUCCAUCGGAAGUGGGACGAGGACUACUCGUUCUUCCAUGCUGUCCUGCAGCAUGUGUGUGGGGGAAGCACAACACAGGGCUGCAGGCUGGAAAGCAAAGUGCCCGCGUCCUGGGGGGGGGGGGGGGGGGAACAGCCCGCUUCCAGAGCGAGCCAUUUGGUGCCGGCUGGGCAUUUUAACCACCCCCCCACGCCUGCUGCUACAGCACUUUUCAAGACUGCCUUUGUGCCUUUCUGCAGAGCUCAUUGAUCAUAAGCCCUUCUUGAACCAGUUCUCAGAUCACGGACCAAACAAAAAUCCAUAGGGCCACGUGUUGACAUGCAAGUGCAGUAUGCACGCGGUUCCUAGCCCUAGCAGUGAGAAUUACCAGCUUGCUCUGCUUUCCGGGCUUGCUUUCCCAUUCUCCUUCAGCAUCUAUUGUUUGCUUGGUGUAGCUUAAAUACUAAUAGGAAACCAUCUUGGGACUUUUAUCAACAAGUCCUCUUUAAAACUAAACUGUUCCAUCAGCUCCUAAAGAAAGUGAACAUGUGUGUCUUAACUCCUUAAAAGAAAUCUUUGAAACAUUAUCUUGAUGAAAC